rnacentral:rRNA from 1 species
UACGGGGGGGGCAAGCGUUGUUCGGAAUUAUUGGGCGUAAAGGGCGCGUAGGCGGUCUCGUAAGUCUCUCGUGAAAUCCCACGGCUUAACCGAGGAAUUGCGGGGGAUACUGCGAGGCUAGAGUCCGGGAGAGGGAAGUGGAAUUCCCAGUGUAGCGGUGAAAUGCGUAGAUAUUGGGAGGAACACCGGUGGCGAAGGCGGCUUCCUGGACCGGUACUGACGCUGAUGCGCGAAAGCUAGGGGAGCAAACGGG